AGAUUGAACGCUGGCGGCAUGCUUUACACAUGCAAGUCGAACGGUAACAGGCCGCAAGGUGCUGACGAGUGGCGAACGGGUGAGUAAUGCAUCGGAACGUGCCCAGUCGUGGGGGAUAACGCAGCGAAAGCUGUGCUAAUACCGCAUACGAUCUAUGGAUGAAAGCGGGGGGACCAAAGGCCUCGCGCGAUUGGAGCGGCCGAUGUCAGAUUAGCUAGUUGGUGGGGUAAAGGCCCACCAAGGCGACGAUCUGUAGCUGGUCUGAGAGGACGACCAGCCACACUGGGACUGAGACACGGCCCAGACUCCUACGGGAGCAGCAGUGGGGAAUUUUGGACAAUGGGCGAAAGCCUGAUCCAGCCAUGCCGCGUGCAGGAUGAAGGCCUUGGUUGUAAACUGUCUUUUGGUACGUAACGAAAAGUCUACUUUACUAAGUUAAACGAGG
rnacentral:rRNA from 1 species